GAUGAAGAACGCAGCGAAAUGCGAUACGUAAUGUGAAUUGCAGAAUUCAGUGAAUCACCGAGUCUUUGAACGCACAUUGCGCCCCCUGGUAUUCCGGGGGGCAUGCCUGUCCGAGCGUCAUUGCUGCCCUCAAGCACGGCUUGUGUGUUGGGCCUCCGUCCUCCUCCCGGGGGACGGGCCCGAAAGGCAGCGGCGGCACCGCGUCCGGUCCUCGAGCGUAUGGGGCUUCGUCACCCGCUCUUGUAGGCCCGGCCGGCGCUUGCCGACACAUCAAUCUUUUUUCCAGGUUGACCUCGGAUCAGGUAGGGAUACCCGCUGAACUUAAGCAUAUCAAUAAGCGGAGGA
rnacentral:misc_RNA from 1 species